rnacentral:rRNA from 1 species
UUGCAUGGCUGAAAGAUACCGCUACCAGAGCGAGUCGUUCAAGUCCUCAUGGCCCUUGUAGAGUGGGCUACACGUGUAUGACACUGGGCAGACCAAAGCACGGCCUCAAAGCUGCCCGCCCGGAUUGGCUUCUGAAACUGGAGGCCAUGAAGUCGGAAUCGCGAGUAAUCGUGGAUUAGUCAGGCCACGGUGAAGCUCAGCU